ACCUCGGAUCAGGUAGGGAUACCCGCUGAACUUAAGCAUAUCAAAA
rnacentral:rRNA from 4 species